rnacentral:rRNA from 1 species
UACAGAGGUCCCAAGCGUUGUUCGGAUUCAUUGGGCGUAAAGGGUGUGUAGGUGGCGCCGUAAGUCGGGUGUGAAAUCUCGGGGCUUAACUCCGAAACUGCAUUCGAUACUGCGGUGCUUGAGGACUGGAGAGGAGACUGGAAUUCAUGGUGUAGCAGUGAAAUGCGUAGAGAUCAUGAGGAAGACCAGUGGCGAAGGCGGGUCUCUGGACAGUACCUGACACUGAGACACGAAGGCCAGGGGAGCAAACGGG